UACGUAGGGGGCAAGCGUUGUCCGGAAUCAUUGGGCGUAAAGAGCGUGUAGGCGGUCCGGUAAGUCGGCUGUGAAAGUCCAAGGCUCAACCUUGGGAUGCCGGUCGAUACUGCCGGACUAGAGUUCGGAAGAGGCGAGUGGAAUUCCCGGUGUAGCGGUGAAAUGCGCAGAUAUCGGGAGGAACACCUAUGGCGAAGGCAGCUCGCUGGGACGUUACUGACGCUGAGAACGCGAAAGCGUGGGGAGCAAACAGG
rnacentral:rRNA from 1 species